ensembl:lncRNA
CUCCGGACCUGUGACAUCAUCACGUACGCUGGUACAAAUCACGAGUCCGUGCUCGCGUACUUGAGAAUUGAGAAACGGCCGACGAGUCCGUGCUCGCGUUCUCGGCAGGUACGUACUCCCGUGCGUUCUCGGCGGGUACGUACUCACCGAGCACGCGAGUACGUACUCGCGUACUUGGGCAUUGAUAAACGGCCCUGGUGGUUCUAUCCCCGUGUGUCCGUCAGAUAUCUAACCCCACGUUGCAUCCAUCAGUGUGUGAGUGUUUGACAGAGAACAUAGCAGAGAUUUAAAUCAGCGACAGUUAAAACAAACAGACUCAAAACAUCCACAAAGUCUCAAAAUAACAACAAAACAAGUACUAAGAGAUUCAGAGUAACAGCUACAGUCUCACAACAGCUAAAACUACUAGAAAGACUUUGAAAACAAGCACAAAAAGACUGAAAACAGGAAAAAAAAAGUUAAAACCAGAGAUAAAAGCUAGCACUAAGAAAGACAUUCAGAAACAAACAUCUGUCUAUAGAUACAUUUAAAAAAAACCAUUUAAACUAAAAGGAUUACUCACAUAUAUAUUGAUGGAUAUGUUUUGCAGCAGAAUAAUUUUUUACGUUUUUAUUUAUUUGAUGGCCACCUAAACAGAGUGUCACGCUCUCACUCGCAUGCAGUAAUUAAUACCAGUGAAUGAAGUCAUAUGUCCCCUGUGAGCAGCUCACGGACCUGACAUUAGAUUUUCCUGCUGCUCAUUAUUGGUAUGCAGCCUGGAGAGAGAGGGGGAGAGGCGGUCAGAUCGAACUUCACUGACUUUCUCGGAGCAGAGUUGGUUAAGUAACAGCUGUUUGAGGAGAAGGAGAAAAAUCACAGUGAGUGUUUGAGCUGUGUUGAAAUGGAGACGGGCAGAUAGUGUGACUGUUUCUGAGACAUGCAGUCAAAGCAGAGAGCCCCAAGGAGCUGGAACCAGAGUAAACAACGAAAGGUAAAUAAAGCCAAGUCAGUGGGUCAGAUGCUGUGUUCAAGUUCGACUUGUAAAAACCGAGAGGACUGUGGGGUGUGUGAAUAAGAUGGUAAAAUGGUAAAUGGCCUGUAUUUAUAUAGCGCUUUCUAGUCCCUAAGGACCCCAAAGCGCUUUACAUAUCCAGACAUCCACCCAUUCACACACACAUUCACACACUGGUGAUGGCAAGCUACAUAGUAGCCACAGCCACCCUGGGGCGCACUGACAGAGGCGAGGCUGCCGAACACUGGCGCCACCGGGCCCUCUGACCACCACCAGUAGGCAACGGGUGAAGUGUCUUGCCCAAGGACACAACGACCGAGACUGUCCAAGCUGGGGCUCGAACCGGCAACCUUCCGAUUACAAGGCGAACUCCCAACUCUUGAGCCACGACCGGAAGAAAGGAAAGGUUCCAGGACGAACCUGAAGUAGAAGCUUCCAUGAAUCCAUGGAUCUACAAUGCAUGAUGGGGAAGCAGCAGGACUUAACAGCACUUGUGCCUUUGCAGAAUUUGACAUUUGAUGUGCAUUUGCAAGUAAAAAUGUCCAAAGCUUAUAAGUA